rnacentral:rRNA from 1 species
UACGAAGGGGCUAGCGUUGUUCGGAAUUACUGGGCGUAAAGGGCGCGUAGACGGUGUGUCAAGUCAGGCGUGAAGCCCGGCUCAACCUGGAACAGCGCUUGAGACUGGCACGCUCGAGUUCGGAGAGGAUGGUGGAAUUCCAGUGUAGAGGUGAAAAUUCGUAGAUAUUGGAAAGAACACCGAUGGCGAAGGACAGCCAUCUGGACCGACACUGA